GACGAACGCUGGCGGCGUGCUUAACACAUGCAAGUCGAACGGACAGACGAUGCUCUUGUUCCUUUCUCGUUUGCGGCGGACGGGUGUGUAACACGUGUAAACUCUCCCUGUCUUACGGAUAUAUCUACGGAACUCGGGCUCUUACCGCGUAGAAGCUAUUGCUCCGCGGGGUGCGUUAGUGAGUGUCGGCGGUUUUGGCUGGAUUAGCGGGUUCUGAGCUGGUUGGUCGGGUAGUGGCUUACCAAGGCUUCGACGGGUAGCCGGCCUGAGAGGGGGACCGGCCACAUUGGGACUGAGAUACGGCCCAGACUGCUACGGGAGGCAGCAGUGGGGAAUAUUGCACAAUGGGCGGAAGCCUGAUGCAGCGACGCCGCGUGCGGGAUGACGGCCUUCGGGUUGUAAACCGCUUUCGCCUGUGACGAAGCGUGAGUGACGGUAACGGGUAAAGAAGCACCGGCUAACUACGUG
rnacentral:rRNA from 1 species